UACGUAGGGGGCAAGCGUUGUCCGGAAUCAUUGGGCGUAAAGCGCGUGUAGGCGGUCCGAUAAGUCGGUUGUGAAAGUCCAGGGCUCAACCCUGGGAUGCCGACCGAUACUGUCGGACUAGAGUUCGGAAGAGGCGAGUGGAAUUCCCGGUGUAGCGGUGAAAUGCGCAGAUAUCGGGAGGAACACUAAUGGCGAAGGCAGCUCGCUGGGACGUUACUGACGCUGAGACGCGAAAGCGUGGGGAGCAAACAGG
rnacentral:rRNA from 1 species